UACGUAGGGGGCGAGCGUUGUCCGGAUUUAUUGGGCGUAAAGGGUUUGUAGGUGGCUUGCUAAGUCAGACGUGAAAUCCCUCAGCUUAACUGGGGAACUGCGUCUGAGACUGGCAAGCUUGAGUGCAGGAGAGGAACGCGGAAUUCCAGGUGUAGCGGUGAAAUGCGUAGAUAUCUGGAGGAACACCGGUGGCGAAGGCGGCGUUCUGGACUGCAACUGACACUGAGGAACGAAAGCCAGGGGAGCAAACGGG
rnacentral:rRNA from 1 species